CACGUAGGGCGCAAGCGUUGUUCGGAAUUACUGGGCGUAAAGGGCUCGUAGGCGGCCAACUAAGUCAGACGUGAAAUCCCUCAGCUUAACUGGGGAACUGCGUCUGAUACUGGAUGGCUAGAGUGUGGGAGAGGGAUGCGGAAUUCCAGGUGUAGCGGUGAAAUGCGUAGAUAUCGCUUGGAACGCCAAAGGUGAAAACAGGUUGCCGGGGUUGUGCCGACGCUGAGACACGAAAGCCAGGGGAGCAAACGGG
rnacentral:rRNA from 1 species